rnacentral:rRNA from 1 species
UACGUAGGGUGCGAGCGUUGUCCGGAAUUAUUGGGCGUAAAGGGCUCGUAGGCGGUUUGUCGCGUCGGGAGUGAAAACUCAGGGCUUAACCCUGAGCCUGCUUCCGAUACGGGCAGACUAGAGGUAUGCAGGGGAGAACGGAAUUCCUGGUGUAGCGGUGAAAUGCGCGGAUAUCAGGAGGAACACCGGUGGCGAAGGCGGUUCUCUGGGCAUUACCUGACGCUGAGGAGCGAAAGUGUGGGGAGCAAACAGG